rnacentral:lncRNA from 1 species
UACUCCGCACGACAUUAAUAGAGAGUCACCAUUUAACUUGACUUACGGGACAAAUGCCAUGCUGCCUGUUGAGGUGGGGGAGCCAAUGAUCCGUAGAAGGUGAAGAGCUAGCAGAGGGAAAUGACGAUUAACUAAGGAGCGAGUUGGACACGACACAAGAGAGAAGAGAAAUGACUAUCGUUCGGGUGGAGGUUCAAGAUAGGUUGGUUGCAUGAUGGAAUAACACCAAAGUCUGACCAAGGCAUUUUGUGGUAGGAGACUUGGUAUGGCGAAAGACGGCGGAAGCAAGAAAAGAUCGAGCCCAUGGGAAGUUAGCUGUUAACUGGGAGGGCCCAUUUAGGGUCACAGAAGAUCUCAAUAAUGGGGCGUAUCGGUUAGAGCAUCCGAACGGUGUGGUGAUAACAAUUGAAAAACUGUUAUUUUUAUACUUAGAUUUGACACUAAACUCACCCUUUAUGACUUAGAAACUAGCUUGAAAUCAUGCAUUUUGCUUAAGUUAGAGAAUAAGAGAGUCAAAGGUGGUUUUUUUGGUUUUAUGCUUGGUUUUCCUUGAUUUGGCAAGAAUAAACUUGAAUUGGAUGAAGGAAUUUAAUGUAGCAAGGAGCUGAACUCAGAAGAAGUGG